GUUAAACGCUGGCGGCGUGCUUAACACAUGCAAGUCGAACGAAGUUUUUCUUUCGGGUGGUACUUUGUGGCGGACGGGUGAGUAAAGUGUGGGUAACCCGCCCUGUACAGGGGGACAACAGCUGGAAACGGCUGCUAAUACCGCAUAAGCCCUUAGCACUGCAUGGUGCAUAGGGAAAAGGAGCAAUCCGGUACAGGAUGGACGCGCGUCUGAUUAGCUAGUUGGCAUGGUAACGGCCUACCAAAGCGACGAUCAGUAGCCGAUCUGAGAGGAUGUACGGCGACAUUGAGGGUGGGACACGGCCCAGACUCCUACGGGAGGCAGCAAAGGGUGAUAUUGCACAAUGGAGUGAGUGCUGAUGCAGCUACGCCGGUAAAGUGAAGAAGGAUGGCAGGAAGUAAAGCACUAUCAUCAGGUGAGAUAAUGACGUUACCAAACGAAGAAGCACCGGCUAAAUACGUG
rnacentral:rRNA from 1 species